UACGGAGGGGGCAAGCGUUGUUCGGAGUCACUGGGCGUAAAGGGCGCGUAGGCGGUGCGUAAAGUCAGGCGUGAAAGCCCCGGGCUUAACCUGGGAAUUGCGCUUGAUACUGACGUGCUAGAGAACGGGAGAGGAUGGCGGAAUUCCCAGUGUAGAGGUGAAAUUCGUAGAUAUUGGGAAGAACACCGGUGGCGAAGGCGGCCAUCUGGACCGUUUCUGACGCUGAGACGCGAAAGCUAGGGGAGCGAACAGG
rnacentral:rRNA from 1 species